rnacentral:rRNA from 1 species
GAUGAACGCUGGCGGCGUGCCUAAUACAUGCAAGUCGAGCGAACAGACGAGGAGCUUGCUCCUCUGACGUUAGCGGCGGACGGGUGAGUAACACGUGGAUAACCUACCUAUAAGACUGGGAUAACUUCGGGAAACCGGAGCUAAUACCGGAUAAUAUAUUGAACCGCAUGGUUCAAUAGUGAAAGACGGUUUUGCUGUCACUUAUAGAUGGAUCCGCGCCGCAUUAGCUAGUUGGUAAGGUAACGGCUUACCAAGGCAACGAUGCGUGGCCGACCUGAGAGGGUGAUCGGCCACACUGGAGCUGAGACACGGUCCAGACUCCUACGGGAGGCAGCAGUAGGGAAUCUUCCGCCAUGGGCGAAAGCUUGACGGAGCAACGCCGCGUGAGUGAUGACGGUCUUCGGAUCGUAAAACUCUGUUAUUAGGGAAGAACAAAUGUGUAAGUAACUAUGCACGUCUUGACGGUACCUAAUCAGAAAGCCACGGCUAACUACGUG